rnacentral:lncRNA from 1 species
UUUCGAAAUGAUAAUGACCAUCAACAUAAAUGUCAACUAUAUCAGUAAAAUUACAUUUAUUACCCAAAAAUAAUAAAAUUACAAUUUAGUCAGUAAUUAAUAUGAAUGUCAAUUAUAUAAAGCAAAUUACAUAUAAAUCAUCUACAACAACCAAAACUCCACGUCUACUGAAGAACUAAAGAUUGAGAUCAAGAACUUAACAUAAAAACCCUUCAGCUUCAAAAGCAAACAAAUCACGCCAAAUAUUUGCAGCAACCCCUUUGAAGUUCCUGUAUAAAAUUUUACAGUAACCACUUUUAUAGGAGUUAGAAAGAUUAACUAAAAGUACAGGUGCCAUUUACCUUAAUUACCCAUAUGGAUGUUGUAGGUUUUCCUUGUAAAU